CAGGUAACUUACUUUUACCAACAGAGAUGUACAUCUUUAUUAGGUUGCUACUACUCAAGUUGGGUUCUACGGGAUGAGAGCUUAAUUUCCAACGAGUUCUUAAAGGCACCAUUUAAUUUUACAUUAUUGUAUUAACAUUUCUGAUAUUUGGAAUGUCAAACUUUUUUAUAUCCUAUGAGCUUGGAAGAAACUCAUUUGUACUCAAUUAAGUACAUGAUAUAUUGUACUAUUAGACAGCCUUUGGUCGCAAUGCUUGGAUUAAGAGAUAUUGGUGCAUCUUAUUUUUAGAUAUUGUUUCCAGUG